rnacentral:rRNA from 1 species
AGUGAACGCUGGCGGUAGGCCUAACACAUGCAAGUCGAACGGCAGCACAGUAAGAGCUUGCUCUUACGGGUGGCGAGUGGCGGACGGGUGAGGAAUACAUCGGAAUCUACUUUUUCGUGGGGGAUAACGUAGGGAAACUUACGCUAAUACCGCAUACGACCUACGGGUGAAAGCAGGGGAUCUUCGGACCUUGCGCGAUUGAAUGAGCCGAUGUCGGAUUAGCUAGUUGGCGGGGUAAAGGCCCACCAAGGCGACGAUCCGUAGCUGGUCUGAGAGGAUGAUCAGCCACACUGGAACUGAGACACGGUCCAGACUCCUACGGGAGGCAGCAGUGGGGAAUAUUGGACAAUGGGCGCAAGCCUGAUCCAGCCAUACCGCGUGGGUGAAGAAGGCCUGCGGGUUGUAAAGCCCUUUUGUUGGGAAAGAAAAGCAGCAGGUUAAGACCCCGCUGUUCUGACGGUACCCAAGAAUAAGCACCGGCUAACUUCGUG